AGACAGGACGUGGAGCUCCGCCUCCGAGAUAGGAUUGGAGGAGAACUGGCCAGCUGACACUGGCAAAGGUUCAAAUGCUUGCGAUACGCUCAUCCAGUUUCCCGGCUCUAAAGACCAUCUGUACACUGAUGACUUUACUGCCCAGCUGGAAGCUUUGUCACCUCACAGAAUGGCUCUGAGGAGCUAACAGGGAAGAACGGACUCAUCUGAAGGAACCAAAGGACUUUGUGGGACUGACAAACAGCAACAGCUCAAGUCCUGAGCGGAAGAAACAGCGUCCGCCCCUGCUGGGGGACUCUGGUCGUGUGCCCGUCCCCUCAGCUCUGGGUGUGACCCAGAAAAUGGCAAGGUGCCGUCAUUCCAGAGGAAAUCUCAGCACAGUGUGAUGACUUCCUUGGGGUUCCUCAACACUAAUGUCAGUUGCGAUUCCUCUAAGGACGGUACACAUUAACCGCAGGGAACAGUGUAAGUGACGUAGUGACGCCGUGCGAGCUCUGGUCACCUGGCUCGCUGUCACCAGGCCUAGGAAUAUAGUUCCUGAUUCACACUUGUAAACUCGGCAGUAAAGGAUGUGGAA